UCUACGGGUGGCAGCAGUGAGGAAUAUUGGUCAAUGGACGCAAGUCUGAACCAGCCAAGCCGCGUGAAGGAAGAAUGUGCUAUGCAUUGUAAACUGCUUUUAUACGGGGAUAAAUUCAGAUACGUAUAUCUGGUUGCAAGUACCUUAUGAAUAAGGAUCGGCUAACUCCGUGCCAGCAGCCGCGGUAAUACGGAGGAUCCGAGCGUUAUCCGGAUUUAUUGGGUUUAAAGGGUGCGUAGGCGGUCAGUUAAGUUAGAUGUGAAAGCUCGAUGCUCAACAGUGAAACUGCAUGUGAUACUGGCAGACUAGAGUGUAGUUGAGGUAGGCGGAAUGUGUGGUGUAGCGGUGAAAUGCUUAGAUAUCACGCAGAACACCGAUUGCGAAGGCAGCUUGC
rnacentral:rRNA from 1 species